rnacentral:rRNA from 1 species
UACGUAGGGUGCGAGCGUUAAUCGGAAUUACUGGGCGUAAAGCGUGCGCAGGCGGUUUUGUAAGUCUGUUGUGAAAUCCCCGGGCUUAACCUGGGAAUGGCAAUGGAGACUGCAAGGCUAGAGUUUGGCAGAGGGGGGUAGAAUCCACGUGUAGCAGUGAAAUGCGUAGAGAUGUGGAGGAACACCGAUGGCGAAGGCAGCCCCCUGGGUCAAAACUGACGCUCAUGCACGAAAGCGUGGGGAGCAAACAGG